UCCCUCCGGGCUCCGGAUCCCUCCGGCCGCGGCUGCCCCGCCACCGCUGCGCUCCCGCCUUGUGGUCCCGCCGCCCCUCCCCAUCUCACUGGCGGCGGCGGCUGGAACAGGCCCGCCCGCAGCCUCCGACGGGCCCAGUCCUUCCAGGGCUGGAGGGAGUUCAGCUGAAGCGAGGAAAAUCAAGCUCAGCUCUGUGUCUGUCUUAUUGAUUGGCUGCCCACCCAGCCAGGAGCUGAUCUACCUUCUUGAAAAACCCAGUUGUUCAUGGUGACGACGACGAGGACAACAACGAGGACGACACUGCUCCUGACAACCACAAUACUCCCAACAACUAUGAUCCCAACUGAUGCCGCUCCUGAUGACUACCCCAACGACUAUCACUCUCCCACACCAGCCUCACAGACUAACCUUUAUAGAGGUGGUUGAGCCCGGCCCACACACAGGUGGCCAAUGAGAUUGUGACACACAUGGAAAACUGCACACUUCUGCUCGGUUGGCAAUACGGGUGACCAAUUGAAUUCCAAUUCACCACAGUAAAUAUAUGGUGCCCCACUGAUUAGAUGUCUCCAUCCUGCCUGGCCCGCCCCUAUAUCUGAAGUUUGCAAAUAAGUUCCUCUGGGAGGGGCAGGGUCAGUC